rnacentral:rRNA from 1 species
UUUCUCAAACGAUUAAGCCAUGCAUGUCUAAGUAUAAGCAAUUAUACAGCGAAACUGCGAAUGGCUCAUUAAAUCAGUUAUCGUUUAUUUGAUAGCACCUUACUACAUGGAUAACCGUGGUAAUUCUAGAGCUAAUACAUGCUAAAAACCCCGACUCACGAAGGGGUGUAUUUAUUAGAUUAAAAACCAAUGCCCUCCGGGGCUCACUGGUGAUUCAUGAUAACUUCUCGGAUCGCACGGCCUUGUGCCGGCGAUGGUUCAUUCAAAUUUCUGCCCUAUCAACUUUCGAUGGUUGGGUAUUGGCCCACCAUGGUGACAACGGGUAACGGAGGGUUAGGGCUCGACCCCGGAGAAUCCGCCUGAGAGACGGCGAAUACAUCCAAGGAAGGCAGCAGGCGCGCAAAUUACCCAAUGCCGACUCGGCGAGGUAGUGACGAGAAAUACUGAUACAGGGCUCUUUUGGGUCCUGUAAUUGGAAUGAGUACAAUUUAAUCCCUUAACGAGGAACAAUUGGAUGGGCAAGUCUGGUGCCAGCAGCCGGCGGUAAUUCAGCUCCAAUAGCGUAUAUUAAAGUUGUUGAAGUUAAAAAGCUCGUAGUUGAACCUUGGGCCUGGCUGGCCGGUCCGCCUCACCGCGUGCACUGGUCCGGCCGGGUCUUUCCCUCUGGGGAUCCGCAUGCCCUUCACUGGGUGUGCCGGGGAACCAGGACUUUUACUCUGAACAAAUUAGAUCGCUUCAAGAAGGCCUAUGCUCGAAUAGUCUAGCAUGGAAUAAUGGAAUAGGACGUGUGGUUCUAUUUUGUUGGUUUCUAGGACCGCCGUAAUGAUUAAUAGGGACAGUCGGGGGCGUCAGUAUUCAGUUGUCAGAGGUGAAAUUCUUGGAUUUACUGAAGACUAACUACUGCGAAAGCAUUCGCCAAGGAUGUUUUCAUUAAUCAGGAACGAAAGUUAGGGGAUCGAAGACGAUCAGAUACCGUCGUAGUCUUAACCAUAAACUAUGCCGAUUAGGGAUCGGACGGUGUUAUUUUUUGACCCGUUCGGCACCUUACGAUAAAUCAAAAUGUUUGGGCUCUUGGGGGAGUAUGGUUGCAAAGCUGAACUUAAAGGAAUUGACGGAAGGGCACCCACCAGGGUGGACUGCGGCUUAAUUUGACUCAACACGGGGAAACUCACCAGGUCCAGACACAAGUAGGAUUGACAGAUUGAGAGCUCUUUCUUGAUUUUGUGGGUGGUGGUGCAUGGCCGUUCUUAGUUGGUGGGAUGACUUGUCUGCUUAAUUGCGAUAACGAACGAGACCUUAAUCUGCUAAAUAGCCCGUAUUGCUUUGGCAGUACGCUGGCUUCUUAGAGAGACUUUCGGCUCAAGCCGACGGAAGUUUGAGGCAAUAACAGGUCUGUGAUGCCCUUAGAUGUUCUGGGCCGCACGCGCGCUACACUGACAGAGCCAGCGAGUACUCCCUUGGCCGGAAGGCCCGGGUAAUCUUGUUAAACUCUGUCGUGCUGGGGAUAGAGCAUUGCAAUUAUUGCUCUUCAACGAGGAAUCCCUAGUAAGCGCAAGUCAUCAGCUUGCGUUGAUUACGUCCCUGCCCUUUGUACACACCGCCCGUCGCUACUACCGAUUGAAUGGCUCAGUGAGGCUCUCGGACUGACCCAGGGAGGUUGGUGACGACCACCCAGGGACGGAAAGUUAUCCAAACUCGGUCAUUUAGAGGAAGUAAAAGUCGUAACAAGGUCUCCGUA